ACGGGUGUAGUUCAAGGGUAGAAUAGUGGUCUCCAAAACCAUUGAUGGGGGUUCGAAUCCCUCCACCCGUGCCA
rnacentral:tRNA from 2 species